rnacentral:rRNA from 1 species
AGUGAACGCUGGCGGUAGGCCUAACACAUGCAAGUCGAACGGCAGCACAGUAAGAGCUUGCUCUUACGGGUGGCGAGUGGCGGACGGGUGAGGAAUACAUCGGAAUCUACUUUUUCGUGGGGGAUAACGUAGGGAAACUUACGCUAAUACCGCAUACGACCUACGGGUGAAAGCAGGGGAUCUUCGGGCCUUGCGCGAUUGAAUGAGCCGAUGUCGGAUUAGCUAGUUGGCGGGGUAAAGGCCCACCAAGGCGACGAUCCGUAGCUGGUCUGAGAGGAUGAUCAGCCACACUGGAACUGAGACACGGUCCAGACUCCUACAGGAGGCAGCAGUGGGGAAUAUUGGACAAUGGGCGCAAGCCUGAUCCAGCCAUACCGCGUGGGUGAAGAAGGCCUUCGGGUUGUAAAGCCCUUUUGUUGGGAAAGAAAAGCAGCAGGUUAAUACCCCGCUGUUCUGACGGUACCCAAAGAAUAAGCACCGGCUAACUUCGUG